rnacentral:sRNA from 1 species
GUUGAUAUCCAGGCGUCCGCAGUGCCUGUGUAUUUACUCUCUUCUUAGUUUCGUGUUUGCGUUUAGUUUCAAGACACGUCGACAAAACGACUGUGAUUAAUGAAUGUAAUAACGAAAUAUUUGGGGUGGGGGACAGAAGAAACCUUCAGCAAUCCACAAGAUACUGGUUUUUCGUUUCCAAUGCUCUGGACCUUUAGAGAGCUCAUCAUCUUUCCUUAUGGUCGCAAGUCUUGAAAGAAAGAGCAAGAGAGCGAGCGGGUUGGGUUGGGGCUGGAGUGGCCGAGGCCGGCCUGGGUCCAGGCAGUCAGGCCUGACGCGGCCCCGCGCCCUUUCCCGGCAGAGAAGCCCGGGACGGCCAUGUGCGUGGGCUGCGGGAGUCAGAUCCACGACCAGUUUAUCCUGCGGGUGUCGCCCGACCUCGAGUGGCACGCGGCCUGCCUCAAGUGUGCCGAGUGCAGCCAGUACCUGGACGAGACGUGCACGUGCUUCGUGAGAGACGGGAAGACCUACUGCAAGCGGGACUAUGUCAGGCUGUUCGGCAUCAAGUGCGCCAAGUGCCAGGUGGGCUUCAGCAGCAGCGACCUGGUGAUGAGGGCGCGGGACAGCGUGUACCACAUCGAGUGCUUCCGCUGCUCCGUGUGCAGCCGCCAGCUGCUGCCUGGGGACGAGUUCUCGCUGCGGGAGCACGAGCUGCUCUGCCGCGCCGACCACGGCCUCCUGCUCGAGCGCGCCGCGGCCGGCAGCCCGCGCAGCCCCGGCCCGCUUCCCGGCGCCCGCGGCCUGCAUCUGCCCG